ensembl:lncRNA
CUCUGCAGCGCUCCCGGUGUCAGUGCCCCGCCGGUGUGUCCCAGAGCCCCCACUGCGGUGCACCGAAGGGGGAAUGGGGAGGGGUGUGGGGGGACACACGCAGAUGUGGCACAGGGCACGCAGCUGGCGAUGGGACACUGGGAUAGGGCACGGGGACACUGCGGCCGUGGUGCAGGGAGGGGAUGGAGAUGUGGCACAGGGACAUGGCACACACAUGGCACACACACAGCACAGGGACAUGGCACACACAUGGCACACACAGGACACAGGGACACGGCACACACACGGCACAAACACGGCACAAACAUGGCAUGCACAUGGCACGCACACGGUACAGGGACCUGGCACACAUAUGGCACGGGGACACAGCACAAACAUGGCACACACACAGCACACACAUAGGACACACAUGGCACACACACAGCACACACACGGUACAGGGACCUGGCACAAACAUGGCACAAACAUGGCACACACAUGGCACAGGGACAUGGCACAAGCAUGGCACAAACAUGGCACACACACGGCACACACACGGCACAGGGACACAGCACAAACAUGGCACACACACGGCACACACAUAGGACACACGUGGCAUACACAUGGCACACACACAGCACAAGGACACGGCACACACAUGGUUCACACAUGGCACACACAUAGGACACACGUGGCACACACACGGCACAAAGGACAGGGAUACAGCAUGGAGGUGACACAGACACGGCACAGGGACACAUGAGCGUGGCACAAACACAGCACAGGGACGUGGCACAGACAUGGCACAGGGACACAGCACAGAGAUGGCACAGGGACGUGGCGUGAAUGUGGCACAGGGACACAGCACAGGGACAAACAUGGUGUGGGGACACAGCACAGACACAGCACGGGGACAUAGCAUGGAUGUAGCACAUACACAGCACAGGGACAUGGCACAAGGACGUGACACAGACAUGGCACAGAUGUGGCACUGGGACAUGGCACAGGGACAGCACAGGCACAGCACCAGCAUGGCCCAAGGACACAGCACAGGGACAUGGCACGGAGCUGUGGCACAGACAUGACACAAACGUGGCGCAUGAACGUGGCACAGACACAGGACAGGGACAUGGCACAGAUGUGGCACAGGGACAGGCAUAGGAACACAGCGUGGAUGUGGCUCUGGGACACAGCACAGGGACAGCACUAACACGGCACAGGGACAGAGUACAGGUACAUGGCACAGAGGUGGCACAGGGACAGGGCACAGCCAUGACACGGGCACAGCAUGGAUGUGGCACGAGCAUUGCACAGACAUGGCACAAACACAGCACAGGGACAUGGCACAGAGAUGGCACAGAGGCACAGCAUGGAUGUGGCACAUAGACAUGGCACAGACAUGGCACAGACAUGGCACAGGGACACAGCACAGGGAUGGCACAGGGACAAAGCAUGGAUGUGGCACACAGACAUGGCACAGACAUGGCACAGGGACACGGCACAGGGAUGGCACAGGGAUGGCACAGGGACACAGCAUGGAUGGGGCACGCAGACAUGACACAAACAGGGCACAGACAUGGCACAGAGAUGGCACAGAGGCACAGCAGGGAUGUGGCACAGACAUGGCACAGACAUGGCACAGGGACACGGCACAGAGAUGGCACAGGGACACAGCACGGAUGUGGCACACAGCCACGGCACGGGGACACAACACACAGCCACGGCACGCGUGAGAGGCACAGGAGGUGAUGGUGGCACACAGACAGGGGGACAUCAGCCACACAGAGGGACAUGGGCACGGCCAGCCGUGGGGCAGCGGGCAGCACAGCACACAGCACCUCUGCUGCCUCAGUUUCCCCCUCAGCACACAGCAGAGCACGGAGCCACCGCAGCACCGCCACUGCAGCACCGCCACCACCUCCCCAGGAUGGAUGAGCUGCCCUUUCCGCUCCCCCCCCCCACGUUAAUUCAUUAUGGAUUUGGCAUUAACGAGCAAUCACGCGGCCAUGCUGCAGGGGGAAACUGAGGCAUGGAGGCGCCCGUCUGGGACAUGACGCACAACGUGGGGGUCAACAGAGCCAACGUGGGGGGGGGGGGGAUGGGGGGGAACAGUGCCUCUGGAGGGAGGGCUGCAGGGAUGGGAUGAGGGGACGCAGUGCUGAGUGACCACAGGGAGCUGCACGCCUGGCAGGAGGGGACACGGCCGUGCUGCUGUGACCUGGCCAAGCAGCAGCAUGGGCACAGCUCGUGGCACUGUCACCAUGGGGGUCCCGGCC